rnacentral:rRNA from 1 species
GACGAACGCUGGCGGCGUGCCUAAUACAUGCAAGUCGAACGCAGGGGGGACGGGUGAGUAACACGUGGGUAACCUCCCAUCAGAGGGGAUAACACUUGGAAACAGGUGCUAAACCGAAAUUGAUGGAUGGACCAGCGGUGCAUUAGCUAGUUGGUGAGGUAACGGCCCACCAAGGCGAGGAUGCAUAGCCGACCUGAGAGGGUGAUCGGCCACACUUGGACUGAGACACGGCCCAGACUCCUACGGGAGGCAGCAGGAGGGAAUCUUGGGCAAUGGACGAAAGUCUGACCGAGCAACGCCGCGUGAGUGAAGAAGGUUUUCGGAUCGUAAAACUCUGUUGGUAGAGAAGCGGUAUCUAACCAGAAAGCCACGGCUAACUACGUGCCAGCAGCCGCGGUAAUUC